GAUGAAGAACGUAGUGAAAUGCGAUAAGUAAUGUGAAUUGCAGAAUUCGGUGAAUCAUCGAAUCUUUGAACGCACAUUGCGCCCCCUGGUAUUCCGGGGGGCAUGCCUGUUCGAGCGUCAUUUCACCACUCAAGCCUCGCUUGGUAUUGGGCAACGCGGUCCGCCGCGUGCCUCAAAUCGACCGGCUGGGUCUUCUGUCCCCUAAGCGUUGUGGAAACUAUUCGCUAAAGGGUGCUCGGGAGGCUACGCCGUAAAACAAACCCAUUUCUAAGGUUGACCUCGGAUCAGGUAGGGAUACCCGCUGAACUUAAGCAUAUCAAUAAGCGGAGGA
rnacentral:misc_RNA from 1 species